CUCCAGUUUAGCGUGGCGCACGGGAGCUGACCGAGUGGGUGGCAGGGGUCCCCAAGUGGGCAGUGGGGGUCCAUGGGCCGGUUAAACGACCUCCAUGGGCCGCUUGAGGCCCAUGGGCUUUAGGUUGCCGACCCCUGGUAUAUGAUAAUCCUACAUUUUACGGCAGAGAUGGAGAACUUAUGGCUUUCCAAAUAUUGCUGGACACCUCCCAUCAUCCCUCUGAGAAGUUGGUAGCCAAGAAAUUCCCUGGUUACUUCAAGUCAAUAUGUAAAAUUCAUCUCCCUGCUUGUUGCAGCAUUUGGCCCAGGUGGUUAUCAUGUCACAGUGCUUCAGUGACACAAGCCAAAAUCAGCAAAGUCUAGACCAGGGAGUAGAAAACCUGAGACUCUCUGGAAGUUUUUAGCCUCUCCAUUUCUCAUAAGCUCCAGCUAACAUGACAGGAUGAUGGGUACUGUAGCUCAACAACAUCUGGAAUGUCGCAAGUUCCCCAGCCUUGAGUUUGACUAAGCAUUUCUAUGCAUCCUUGUGUCCAUCAGCUAGUUAUUCUACCUAGCUUCUUCCAAGAGAGUGAAGUGAGGCAUCCUCCAUUAGCUCAGGUAAGGCCAACUGCUAUUUUGCCCCUCCCCUCCCCAAACCACCUUCAUCAGCUGCCAUCAUACCUGGAUGAGGCAGAUGGAGAAAUGACACAGCAAGAAGCCUUCAGAGCAACUGCCAUUUGGCUCCUCCCCCUCGCAGAACUGUCUCCCACAACAAGCAUUCCAUUUGGCCGUUAUGGGACUUCAUGAUGCGUAAUCCUAUGAAAGCACUGACACCUGCAUAAGCUUAGUUUCCUUCUUCCUCUCAUCAAAUUCCCAUUUGUAUCCCGUCUUCCGAGACUGCAGGUCAUUAUUAUAAAACAUAAAACACCUUGAGUGCUUGGCAGAGUGGUGGCAUAUCAGUGUAGGAAAUAAAUACGCAUAUUUGGAAUUAGCUGAAACGCUCACGCCAGAUGAGUCAAAUUGGUGUUAGAGAUUUCACCACAACGAGCACAAUACAAUAUAGAUAUAAUGCUGACUUUCCUCUACCUCCUAUGUUAGUUUCUAAAUCAGGAGCCUUUGAGCAGGCUGACAGUUAAUAACAGCUUAGAGCCAAUUCCUGGGCUGCUGACCUGCUUUGGUCUGUUCUGUUUCCUUGCCAGCAGCUUGAGCAAAGAGAGUAGUUCAGUUGUUGGGCCUGGAGCUGAGAGGAUUCUCUGCUAAUCCUUUCCAGCCUGGUGGGUUCACACCUCAGAAUUAUAGCAGCAAUAUGUCAUCUCUCCAUGUCAGUAGACAUUCAGGUCUAAAUAGACCCCCUUGGGCACUUGGCAAACUCGUCCCUUCCACAAAGGGCAAGGAUUUGCAGAACUGGAUGAGCUGGAAGGAAGCUGCAGCAGCGCUGGGUGAUAAUAGCGCGGACUAGGUAGAUAUAACCCAUCGCCAUUUGCAUAUUUUGUCAGUGAACUGAAUAUAACCAUCUGUGAAAGAAGAUGGCUUCUAACAGGUGAAAUGAAACAACUGUCACGUUGAGGGAGGACUCAAGAUAAUGCCUUUGGAACACCAAGGCAAUAUGCUUGGACAGAACAUCUGUGCCGAAGCAUCUGGUACGCCUAGCUGUUUGCAUUGCAGGAGUUUUGUUUAAAUAUGAAAGUUAAGGGAGAGCAGGAGGGUGAUUUGCAGUGCCGAGCACACAGAUUGCUUGAUGGAUGGUGUGCAGAAUAUUUUCCUGACAGAUCAACUAAGGAAAGUUAUUCAGCUUAAAUUAUAUUUUAUCUUUGGUUUCAUGCACAGUGAUAGAGGAGAAUCUCAUUUGGUCUGCAUUUCUAAGUGAACUGACAUAAUUUGCAGCUCCUGGACUAAUCCAUGAAUUGGUACUAUCUCACUUUUCUGAAUUUUGCUGUAUAAUUUUAAGCUAAAAGGAGGAAAAAAAAAGAUGUAGUAUUGGUGAAAUGAAAUUUGGUACAAUGUACCAAAUUUCAUUAAGCAUGCAUGCUUUAGAAUAUAGUACAUCUAGAAAUGCUAACACUGAGAUAAAAUACAUAUUUAAAUGUGUCAAAAACAUAUUUAAAUAUGAGUUUUUUUUUGUUUUUUUUUUAAAAAAGUUCAUACAUUAAUGCACAAAUGGAAUGAAACAACCUGAGGAACAACUACAUCUGAAAUUGGCAUGGUCUGAAAACAGGCUGAUCCAUCCAUUCCUAACCAUAACUAGAAUGCAGUGAUAUUUGAAGAGAAUUUGGCAGCUCAUCUUUAGGUGAAAUCUCUGAAGAAUUUUUGAUGAAAGCCAAAUUUUCAAUUAGAACUCUCAGUGGGGUUUCAUGCAUCCCUUCUUGGCACCAGAGGAAAAUUCAUAGCAAGUUUAGACUCUUCUGCAUGUAAAACCGCCAAGCAGGUAAAAGACAAUAGGGCUUUCAAUAUGUUAGCGAAAAAAUUAUCCGGAAGCUUUCACACAUCCCUAGUUAUAGGGAUGGACUGAGGAAGUUUCUUGAAGUCACAGAACUAUUAUUGUUCACACAUCUCUUCUACAACAGAUUGAAAGGACAGAAAAUCCAGUUGAAAAAACGAAAUGAAAGGAAGGGAGACAUUAACUUCAUGUGCCCUUGUCACCUGUAGAGCCCUGUGUAAAAUCCUGGAGAGCUGCUGUCAAUCAAUGUAGACAAGGCUGAGGUAAAUAGAUCAAUGGUCAGGAUAAGGCAGCUUCCUGUUUUCUUAUGUUCCUUCUAAACCACCAACAUGAAGCAUUUUUAAGGGGUGGAAACAGAUUGGGAUAACAUUAGAAUGGUAUUUAUGUACCAGUGGGUACAAACAUUCCAGAGAUUGCUGGAUUCCUGUCUUUGGGAACAUACCCUCCUGCUGAAUCUGAUCAGGGAUCCUUCCAUAUUUGUAUUGUCUAUACAGACAAUCCCCGUUUUGCACGGGGGUUGUGUUCUGGAUCCCCCAUGUGCAUCGGCGGAAUGCACGUAAGCCCGCUCUGCCACACCUCCCCUUGCUGACCAAAAAAGAUUCCAUUGAGCACAUGGAUUGAUAAUAUGGACAGAUUAGCUACAUACAAGUGAAUUGCAUGUCAACGCAAAAUAAGAAUGGAUAAAUAGGAAGAAAUCUGGAACAAAUAUUUAAGCGAUAAGGCGGAUAGUGGUAGGAAGGAGGGGGAAGAGAGAGAGAGGUGGGAAAAUAUUGUUAAAAAGGUGUAGUCAUAGGUAUGUCAGUGAAUUCAAAUCUGAAUUGUCAAAUUGUGUUAUUAUUGUUAUUACGGUUUUUGUUGUAUGUGUCUUUUGCAGUUGUUAUUUGUAUCGAAAAAAUGAUUAAAUAAUUUUUUUUAAAACCCUCCCCUUGCUGACCCUUAACGCCCUUUUCCGAACCUUUUCAUCACAUCUUUACAAUGUUUUGGGCUACUUCCAGGCUUGGUGCUGGGCAUGCAUGGCGAUUGCGUGUCACUCAGAUGCGCCUCAAUCAGUUGUUGCCUGUACUGUCUGGCAGAAACUCUCCAGGGUUUCAGACAAGGGUCUUUUCUAGCUUUGCCUGGUGAUGCCAGGGACUUAGCCUUGUUUUAUACAAAGCCUGUGUUCUUCUACAGUGGUGCCCCGCAAGACGAAUGCCUCGCAAGACGGAAAACCCGCUAGACGAAAGGGUUUUCCGUUUUUGAGUUGCUUCGCAGGACGAAUUUCCCUAUGGGCUUGCUUCGCAAGACGAAAAUGUCUUGCGAGUCUAGAGAUUUUUUUCGCUUUCCCCCUUUAUCUAAUCUGCUAAGCCUUUAAUAGCCUUUAAUAGCCUUUUAGCAGCUAACUCCUAAGCCUUUAAGCCUUUAAUAGCCGCUAAACCGCUAAUAGCGCUAAUCCGUUAAGCCGCUAAUAGGGUUGCUUCGCAAGACGAAAAAACCGCUAGACGAAGACUCUCGCGGAACGGAUUAAUUUCGUCUUGCGAGGCACCACUGUACUGACCUACACCAAUUUUCCCUUUCAGAACAUUUCCACGGAGCAAUUCCAUUCAUAGGAAGAGCUACUGCACCUCUUUGUUUUCAAUUUAAACUAGUUCUACUCUGCAUAGCACUACAACAACUCCACGAGAUACAAAAAUUAUUACUUUAAAUUACAAUGUAUUCGGAAGGUGUUUUUUAAAUCUUUAUGUCAUCUCUGCUUGGGGGAGUCUGGCCGGGGAGUUCUAGAGAGAACAUGAGCUACUAACUCGGUGGAGCAUGGAGUGCAAAAGAGAUGAAUCCUUCUCUUCUUAAUAGUACAACAGGAGUGGGCUAUGAAGCACAUUAUUUACUUCAGUGGUCCCAUUACUGUAUGCCUCAUUACAUCUGAAGACUGAACUAGCAUUUUGAAUGUUCUGGCAACAGUGCGAACGCUCGCUUCCAUGCCUGUGCAUUAUUGCCGGUCAUCAUAAAUAACAGCUUUCCCAAUUUUCCAAUAUUGAUUCAUCCAUCUGUGUAUGAAAGGGAGAAAGGCAGCAAAAAUAACACAAACAGCAAAGAGAGCAUCUCCCCCUCAUAGCACAGUUCUUAUAAGGGGCUGUCCUUGGGACAUGUUCUGCCAAAGGUUUUGGCUUCCAAAUGUAGUAGUUCUUUUGGAUUCAGACAGCCAUUGGGAUAGCUCAGUCAGUUAGAGCAUGGUGCUGAUAAUGCUAAGGUUGCAUGUUCGAUCCCCUUGUGGGACAGCUGCAUAUUCCUGCAAGACAGGGGUUGGACUAGAUUGCUGCCGGGGUCCCUUCCAACUCUGCAGUUCUACAGGGUGGGCACCACUACCAAGAAGGCCCUCUGCCUGGUUCCCUGUAACCUCACUUCUCGCAGUGAGGGAACUGCCAGAAGGCCCUCUGGAGUGGUGGAAAGGGAUAUCCUGGUUUGUGAACCAUGUAAGAAGAAAGAAAGAAAGAAAAAAGCCUGUGUAUCAGAGGUAGGAUGAUCACAGAAACCAAUAAACCACUUAAUCCUCUGGAAACCACAACAGCAGACAUCUCCUUAAAAUUUUGAUGCAGGAAUAUAGUACUGCAUGGAGCUUGACUGUUUUAUACAUAUUAUACAUAUAUGGGGAGGGUUGGCAUAUAGUCAGGCUUUAACAUCAAAACAGCAAUACCACAUAAGUGGCCUGGACAUAAGAGGUCUUGAAUACAAAAGGAGACAAAGCUUGAACAAGUUGGAAAUGCUAUACUCCAUGUAGAAAUCCAUUUAUAAUGGAUUCCUGCCCCAUCCCGUUUAGAUAAACUUUUGAGGAGAUAGGGGAAACCCAAGCAAUAGAACUACAGAGACAGUACCUGAAGUCCUAACUCAUUUUAUCCUGCUGUACUAAAAAAUGUGAUAUGGUGAAACUAUUGGGUUGUAGCUUUCCUCUCUCUGUGUUAAGUCAAAUGCACAAUGAGAAGAAAGUGUUACAAGAGAACUGACUGCAAAGUUAUUUACUGAUCCUUAGAGCCCCAAAGAAAUUUCAAAUGCAUUCAAAAUUCAGCAAAGUUUCAGAAAUAAUCUGACACAUAGAAUUGCAAACAUUUUCACAUUUUCACAAUUCCUUUUUGAAACUCAACCUCAAGAGUUAUAUAUUUUUAAAUUUGAACUGUAGUGGUGUGAUGGAUCUACCAACUCUCCUUUAAAACAUUCAUUUCUAAUAAAAUACCUUUUAAUUAUAUCAGCAAUACAUCACUGAGAAUGUGUUGUGGGGAGCAUGACAGAAUUAAAUUUCAGCAAGAAAACUCAGGCUAGGAGAAUUUGAUUGAGAAUUUUUUGCCCCCAAAUUCCUUUUAGCUCUUGCACUGUUCUUGACUCAAGCCACAACAGACAAUCAAAACUAGCUGUCCACAUACAGAGAUAACUCCAUGCUCUUCCCUGAUUUAAUUUAAUUCCCUGGUGUAAUGUAAUACAAAAUACAGGUAACAGCAAAGCUCUGUUCUGUGUAUUUAUCUGGCACUAGACUGAAAAUACUGGAAAAAUAAGCCAACAUUUAUUAGGCUACACAACUGUAUUUUGUACAGGUGUUCAUAUUGCUCAUAAUAAAAUUGUCUUUUGACAUCUGUUUCUUCUCCUAUCCUUUCAUGUAGCCAUAUGACAGUGCAUAGGUUAUGCUAGGGCAACUGGUCUGCUCCUAAAGAUGUACAGGCAGAGUUUGCUUUCUGUUAAACACCAUUAGAUGAACACUGUCACUUUCCCCCUGCCUUAAGAGCUGACACCAGUGUGUGACCUAUUCCACAAUGUUCAAGUUGUUUUUAGAGAUUCAUGCUGAAAUUUCUGUGCCUCAGUGCUUAUGCGACUUGCCCCAAACAAAUGCAUCAGAACAGCAACAUGAUUCUGACAUGUCCAUGUGCUGUCUGUAUGGGGGAACCCAUCUCCCAAUCUUUUCUACACACCAGUGAAAUUGCUGUGGGAUAAGUAUUGCCAGUUAUUAAAACAAUUGCAACAAAAAACAUUGAAAUGCAAAUUCCCUCUGAGGAAGCGGAGCGCCUAGUAUCAGCCAGUAAAUAAACCACAAUGACUUUCAUUGUUAUGCUAGCUUAGUGCUCUCUGUGGGAAAAGUAAAGUCCACUAUAAUUCAAGGAAAUAGAGUAUUAAAAAUAACUAUUUGUAUAGAAAAUGGAUGCCCUGGGUGCACUUUCCCAAUAACAUAUUGUGCAAAACUUGGAUCCCGACAGAUCCAGUUUUUCAUCCCAAAUUGCACUGCUGAAACAUCCAUGCAUUUUGGCGUUCUUUGCAAAUGUUUACAGAAUCAAUACACAACUAGAUUAUAAUUUCUCUCCCUUCCUCCUUUUUUCCUGUAUAUCAGCAUGUAUCUUUAAAAUUGUGCCUUCAUAGUUAUUGGUUUUAGGUUCUUUGUUUGUUUUUUCUUUGCACUGAUAGAGAAAACACUGUAAUAAACAGUAGGUGAAAUGUGCAUAAGGCUGAGAAAAUAAACUUUAGUGUAAAAGUGUCAGUGUAAGAAACAGCCCAUGAUAUUCUGUCAGAUAUUUCAGAGUCACGGUUAAGUAGUGACUAGCACCUGAAAGCAAACCAGCUGUUUGAAAUGUAACAGUGUAAUUCUGUACCGUGUACUCUUAAACAGACAUGCAUCACCCAAGUCUGCCCAGAAGGAAAUUCCAUCAAGUACAAUGGGAUUUACUCCCAGGAAAGUGUGUAUAGGAUUGCUCCCUUACUCUCAAGCAAGCCCAAUUGAACCCAGUGGUAGUCACUUCCAAAUUAAAAAUAAAUAAAUCACCUAGUGGGUUAGGCUGCAAGGGCACAUUUUUGCAUUGCUAUGAUGUUGUUGCUACCAACCCCUUCACCCUGAUGGGGCUCUAGGGAAUAAAAGCAAUGCUUGUAAUCUGAUAACUACAGUUCCAACAGUGUGGUCCAAAAUAAUGGGAAAACGAAGUCCCGGUCACAUAUUCAGAAUGAUUUUCAAAACAAACUGAAAUGUGUAAAGCAAUCCUAUACACACUUUCCUGGGAGUAAAUCCCAUUGUACUUGAUGGAAUUUCUUUCUGGGCAGACUUGGGUGAUGUAUGUCACCCAUGACACAAUCAUUUUUGUCAUACCAACUUAAGAAUACAUUAUUCCAGACAUUUUCAACCUUUUUGAGUCCACAGCUCCCUUGACCAGCUACAUUCUUUCUGUGGCUCCCCUGUGGGGAAACGUACUCCAAACUUCAGAAGCCCAGUUAUGUCACCCCCUUGCCUGCAAAGCCGGCAGCCCCUCAUCCCUUUUCAAACAUCCUCCCUUGUGGAGUGUUCACUCAGCCUCCUCUCCUCUUUCCACGGUCGCCUCAGCUCCUGGCAACCAGCACCCCCUGGCCAGCCCCAGAGGCACCAUUCACCAGGGAAGCUUGUAGCCAGGAUUGCUGCAACAAACAGCCGUGCAAGCUUUUGAGAAGCAGAGGGGCAAGAUGGUAUCAGAGGAGGGAGGAAAGGAAAGUGGGACAGAGGCCAGUGUUGCCUGCAGUAACCCUGACCAUCAUUCAAAGCACCCCAGGGUGCCACGGUACACUGGUUGAAAACCACUACAUUAUUCAGUGAAUGUCCUUGAAGUAAGAAUUAUGGACAAGCACUUCCUCCAUGCCUGUUAUGAAUGGGAAAGGAAGGUCACUGUGUGGCCCAAGGAACCUUUAUGAAGCCAAGAACAGAGUCUUUGUCAGAUCCUUCUAACAUGCUAUUGCAGAGUUGCUCCAGCGUCUAAGUUUCCAAGACCUUUACCCUCCAUGUCCCUUGCUUCAGAGAUUGGGCCAUUAGUAAAGUCUUCAGCUGAAGAGAUUUUCCUCUUUGCUGAUGACCUGCUUGCUGUGAGGUUUUGUGGAGGUACAGAUGUUCAUUCUCAAAAAAAUGGGAAGUCCAUUUUUGACUUCUUGAAAAACUAUAGUCUAUUGAUAUCGUAAUUGUUUGGGUUACUUAGGAGACUUGGUGGUGCCAAUAGUCUACAGAAUUUCUGAGAGAUUUGAACCAGUGGGAGUACCAGGUUUUCUGCAGACCUUUUCCCCAUUGUUCAUUGCCACUGACCUUUGCCCUGUGAGAGAUACUUAGAAAAGAAGGGUAAAAAUCCAUAGUAUCUAUGUUAAUUUUGAUCAGUAGGUUGGACAGUUGUAACUUUAGCUCACCCUUCUGAAGUGAGUCAGAUAUUCAACUACUGUGAAUGACAGGAUUUGUUCUACAAAAUCCACAAUUAGGUGCCAUACAAUGUGAAUUAGUGCUGUGCCUAUCCUCCAGUUUCUUGAAAGUUUUCUUCCUCUGUAAAACGUAUUCCCCUUUUUUUUUCUCAUUCUCAUAGCACUUGAGAAUUUCUUUAGAAUUUCAGUCAGUUUGAGGUUUUGAGCAUAACUUAUUAUUGUGAGGUGACCAAGGGUGGUGUGUGUGUUUUUUUCUUCUGGUAAACCUGUCUCUAGCAUUCUGCAGCCUUCCCAGCUGCUCAUGCUCCUGAUCUGAAAAAGCCCUAUGGGAGGAAUUAACUCAUGAUGUCCUCCCCUGGGCUUGAUUGCAUGAGCAACUGGGAGGGCUACAAGAGUGGUGAUUUGUAGAAUGAAUGAAAGAACAUCCGCAAACACUUGUGGGCCACCUCAAAAGUCAAGUAAAAGUGCACCAAAAACAAUGUACAAUGGUACCUCGGGUUAAGAACUCAAUUUAUUCUGGAGGUCUGUUCUUAACCUGAAACUGUUCUUAACUUGAAGCACCACUUUAACUAAUGUGGUCUCCCGCUGCACCACUGCUGCAUGAUUUCUGUUCUCAUCCUGAAGCAAAGUUCUUAACCCAAGGUACUAUUUCUGGGUUAGCGGAGUCUGUAACCUGAAGCGUCUGUAACCUGAAGCGUCUGUAACCCGAGGUACCACUGUACCCCAACCAUGAAAUUCUCAAUGAAUUUCUCUCUUGUCUUUAAUAAUUUUCACUGGAGAAUGGUAAAAAAAUGCAGAAAUUUUCAGAACAGCACUAGGCUUAAUGUUCUUUCUCUGAUGUAAAAUUGGACUACUUAUGAACAACUAAUAUGAUACAUAGUUGGCAAAUGUUACAUAUUUUAAUGUUAGAUGUGUUUCAUUUUUCUAAAAAAAAUCUUAAUUGCAAUUAAUGUAAAACCAUAAGUACAAUAAAAACAAUGCAAGUUGCAAAACAGAUGUUUUAUGAGGUAUGUACUCAGGUAUGUUCUUUCUAUUUCAAGUGCUCAUGUAUGUUCUUCCUCUGAAAACAUGACAAGCCUCUUAUAAUCAAGCAUCCACCCGAAGCAGCUUAACACACCUGAUGCCACAGCCACACUCCUACUUUUUGCCUUCUCUUUGUCACUCUAAGCUCCUAGCCAUCUCCUAGUCAGAGCACCUGUCCCUUGCAACAAUACCCCUGUAGCCAAUGCUGUUCAUGUAUGAGUUUGUUUAUGUUGGUUCAAGGAAAAAUAUAGAUAUAAAAGAAUUCCUAGAUGCAAAGAUCCAAGUUUGGGGCAAGUACUCUUUGGUGAGAGAACCCCAGCAGAGAUUUAAAAUAACCAAAUAUGCAGCAAGUAAAGCAUUAAAAUAUAGGCUGUUAGACCCUUAAAAUAUGCCCUUGUUAGUUUCUUCCAAAGUUCUCCUCUUCCCCCAGCAUAGAAAAAAACACACAGUUUGGCACGCAAAAAAAGGUUUACUUACAAGCUAUCCAAAGGCUGAAUUCAAGUGAUUUUCCUACAGCAUUCAGAAAAAGUUGCACAGGCAGUAAACUAAGUUUAGUUCCAAAGUGCUGAAAGUUCCUAAAUUAGGAAAUCAAGAGUGGCUUGUAAGAGCCAUGUAUUCUGAACUGCAGCAAUCAGCUCAGAGCUCCUCAAAUGCUGAGCUUCUCUGGUAGACUGGGGGUUGAACAAUAGGCUUGAUUAACCAUUUCCUCCCAUGGUAAGGAGAAGUGAUCUCACUAAGCCUGGCAGGACUGCUUAUUCUAUGGUAUUAACCCCUUCAUGCAUCAAUUAGACUUAAGCAUGUUGGUUAUAUGAAGUUAUCCCACAGUUAAUGUGUAUGCUUGUGUGCUAAGGUUGUGUGUGUGUGUGUGUGUGUGUGUGAGAGAGAGAGAGAGAGAGAGCGCACUCCUUGAGUUUAAGAACUGUAUUCAAUAAACAAGAUAUUCUUAUCUUCUCUCCAAUAUAAGAAUCCUGUUAAGUUUCGGUUGUAUGUCCAACACAAAUCACCAACUAAAAGGGAAUUAAUACUGUAGGACUGGAAUAGCAUUAAAGCAAAACAGAUGAAUAAUUUCAUAUACAAUUAGUAGGGGCUCAUUUUUUAUGUUUUCACUGGAGAGGGACAUCAAUAAAAGAAAUUCAAAGAGACUUGGAUCACAGUUGCUUGGUCAUCUGGAGAGAAUAGUCAUUAAGUGGCUUGCUUGACAGGCAGCACUGGUUUCGGUAAUCUCUUUGAUACCCGUUGUUAAAAAAAAAAUAGAGAGCAGGCCCUGUUUUUUUGUAAGGUUGUCCUCUAGCCAGAGGCAGUCAUUUAGAUGUUUAUCCCCAGCUUCAUAAAAGUCAAGGACAAACAUUCUGACUGCAUGCUCUGCCUUCACCCAGAGAUGCUUUCUUGCAUUGAACCAGAACUGCCCAUUAUGCCUAAACCAGAAACUCUGGUUUAAAGUUAGUUAACAAACUAAGAUAAAACAGCUGGAUCUGAUAUAUGAAAGAACUUUCAAAUUAUUCCAGCUUUAUGCCUGUUAUUUCAACUGGUUUGUGGACCUACCUCUAUCAUGAAGAGAAAGCAGCUCUUCAAAGGUUUUACUUCCUUGCUGAAUACAGGUUAGGGUAUACCAUUAGAUUCUCCCACCAUAAGGUUUGAGAUUAUUGUUAAUGCUGUUGUUGACAGUGUAUGACAGCCCUGGACCUGUAUUCUUAUUAUGCAUCUCCUGAGCAGUAUAUAAAUAUUGUUAAUAAAUAAUAUAAUAAAUAUUUAAUUUUUACUUAAAAUAUGUAUAUACUACUCUUCAGCACAGCCUUAAUACCAUAGCAAAAUUAAUGUGUUCUCUCUCUCUCUCUCUCUCUCUCUCUCUGUGUGUGUGUGUGUGUGUAAAAUGUCGCUAUUGAUCAUUAUCAUCAUUAAUUGCUAUCUUUCCCCACAAGCUCAAUGGGCCUGCUGAGUGUUUAGGGUUGUCAGAAAAACAAGGAGCUGAAGCAGAUUUUUUAAAGUAUAUAUAGUUUAGGGCAGGGGUCAGGUCAGCAAACCUUUUCAUCAGGGGGCUGAUGAAUACCCUGCAAGCCGGUCUUGCAGCUGCCUCUGGACCUGGAGGAGGAAUGCACUCUGCACGCACUCAGGAGCACGUCUUGGCGCCACCCACUCACCGGCAUUGUUGAUGAGCAGCAGCUGCUCCAUGGGCCCGUCCCCGCAGAUCUCCCAGAUGGCAUGCACCAUGUGCUGCGGCCCGCCGGCUGAGGCCAGGUCAGCGGGCAGAAUGCGCACACGAAGCACCAGGCAGGCAGCACGCAGGAGCUUCCUGCAGCCAAUCCGAAGCCACGCCAGCUUCGCCCCCCGCCCAGAAGCUGUGCCAGCAUCGUGGAAGUCAGUCCCUGUGCAGCGAGGCAUCCGCAGCACGCAGGGACUGACCAAGCGGGUGGCAGGGUCCGCUUUUACUAGCAUGGGGGCCACAUCCAGCCCCCGGGCCUUAGUUUGCUGACCCCUGGUUUAGGGUAAAUAGGUACUUGUUUUCCCCUGAGCUCUCCCUCCAAAAACAGCUAGUGUCCACGCUCACUCACUCUCUGGGCUCUGCUACCCCACCCAAAUCCAAUAUUUCAAAAGCUGGCUAUUCUAACAGUUUGGGAGAUACCAAACUGAGCACAGUACAUCAGUAAGGUAGGGCAAGGUUGAUAAAUCUUCCCCCCUUCACUGCCGCUUUCCUCACUUUUGUUAUUUGCCUGAGAUUAGGAACACAGGGAACUACCUUAUAUCAAAUCAUUAGUCCAUCUGAUCCAGUGCUGUCUACACUGUGGCCCUCUCAGAUGUUGCCAAACUACAACUUCCAUUGUUCCCUGAUUAAUGGCCAGGCAGGCUGGGGAAGAUGGGAGUUGUAGCUUAGCAAAAUCUGAGAGGGCUACAGGUUAGGUACAACUGGUCUACAGAAACUGGAAGUAGCCCCUGGGUUUCAGAGAGAAGCCAUUUUCAGUCCUACCCAUAGGUGCCAAACAUUGAACCAGAAACAUUUGCAUACAAAGUACAGUGGUACCUCGGGUUACAUACGCUUCAGGUUACAUACUCCGCUAACCCAAAAAUAUUACCUCGGGUUAAGAACUUUGCUUCAGGAUGAGAACAGAAAUCGUGCAGCGGUGGUGCAGCGGCAGCAGGAGGCCCCAUUAGCUAAAGUGGUGCUUCAGGUUAAGAACAGUUUCAGGUUAAGAACAGACCUCCAGAACGAAUUAAGUACUUAACCCGAGGUACCACUGUAUAUGCUCUUGUACUGAACUGUGGCCCUUUGAGGCAAAACCAGAGGAGUACAGACAAACACCCAGAAGGUGUAGUAGUAGCCAUAUACACAUGCAAGCCUAAUGCACUUGCAGCACAAGCCUGAUAGCAUGGUCUGGAUUAACAGCAGCAGCAACAACAAGAAUUUUAUUAUUUGCACUCCACCCAUUUGACUGGGUUGCCCCUGCCAUUAGACAGCCCUAAUCCUAUUUAAGCACAUAUUCAUUGGUAUAACAAGCUGUAAGGCUGGGGAAUAUUUAUAUCAAUAUUUCAAUGUCAUUGACAAAAAGCCUUCUGCUUUCCCACAUAUCCUGCUAAAUGUAUGCACAUAAAGUAUGUAUGUCUUGUAAAAAUGCUCCGUGUUGGAAUUGUAAAAGUAGGUAAUUGCUUCUCUUUUGUCUCCAAUGGCAGCAAUUUUAUACUGGGUCAAGAGACUUAGAAAUCCUAUCAGUUCCCAACAAAGCAUCAUUCACCUAAGGGGUUUCUCUCCAUCUGUAAAAUCCUAAGGCAAUUCAAGAAGAGGUGGUGCUUCUCCAGAAAGAUUUUAACUAGCUAAAAACAAAUUAAGAUGAAUUCAGCAAUGACUCAAAUGAUUACGCAACAACUUUCACAUGCAAAUAUACAUAAUUUAAAAUAUUUAGAGAGGAUUAUAAUAAGCAGCUUAAUAACUGUCUAUGCCUAAGCUGGACCUUUUCAUUCACUCCAGAAUCUUAUCACAAAUGACUCUGGAAAGAAUUCUUUAGGAAUUUGUGAGCAAAUGCCAGUAACUCUUUAUUAAACUCUCCCCAAAUCACUGGCAAAGCAGUCCUUUAUAUUUAUCAAUAGGAUGCUAAAACAUUUUACAAUAACAUUUCUAAAGCAUUUAAGAGAACAAAAUUAUUUCCAUUUAUCACUGAACUAACCCUGGGGUGCCCAAUGUGGCACUUCUGGGCACCACAGCAGCUUCCGAAUCCAUUUGGGGCACACUAAAGGCCUGCCACCCCUCCCAAUUUGUGUUUUUGAGGGUGUGCUGCCUGCUUUAUUGUCUGUCUUUUACUGGUGGGUGGCUGUGUAUGUAUCUAGGUGUUUUGCCUGUUUUAGGGGUGUGUGUAGCAUAUGUAGGUGCUUUUCCUGGUUUUUGGGAGAGGGAGGGGAGCUUCACCCAUUUGUCUUGUGUGAAAUUGCUAUUUUGUGAUUCCCACAACAGUUUAUUCCACUUCCAAAUGCACCCCUUGUCCCCAAAGGGCUAGGGACCAUUGAUAUAACCCAUGGUUUGGGUGGGUGGGAACAAGCUGCAGCAAGCUUGGGUGAGUGCACCCCCCGAUCCUCUUCUCCAUCUGCAUGCAUGAGAGGAGAAGACCGAAAGCUUUCCCUGUUGAAUAAACCAUAGUUUCCCAUUUUCUACUGCAGGAAUGGGGAGCCUGUGGCUGUCCAGAAAUUGUUGGACUCCAACUCCCAUAACCCCUUGUCAAUACGGCCAAUGGUCAGGGAUGAUUAGCAAAUGACUCCGACGCCAUGGGUCUCCUGUUGUCUUUAUAAUUUAUGGCCUGAUCCCAUGAAAAGGGCACCAGGAAACAGAGGUCCAGGAUGAAGAUCAGAUUUGGAUGUAGGACUCUCAGUUGUGUAGAUCUGGAAAAUGUUGGGCUUCUCCAUAGGUUGCUCUCACCCCAGCUCUACCCCAAAGUGAUACAUAAUUUGACUCUGCAGCUGAAAUAAGAUUACAUAAAUACCUAAUAAUCUCUCAGAUCAUUCGCACACCAACAAAAACUUUAAUGUGGUUUUGGGUUCCUGCAGUGAAUAUUUGCAAGCAGCAAUACUGUUUAAUAAGAUUUUGAGCUGAAGCACAGAUCUCUGAUGUUUAUCUACCCUCAAGAGCAGAUUAGGGUUUAAAUCAAGAGGAAAAUAAACUAACAUCACACCAUCAUUGGUACUUAGGUUUGUUUUUGCAGCCCCUGCCAUAUUUGCUCCUCUGAUACCAAUGCUCAUGAGGUAGGAGCUUAGUUGCCAAUGAGAUCGAGAAAUGCUCUGAAUAGUCAAAGGUUGUAAUACAUUUAAUGUGCAGUGAAUUGGUGGGUUUUAUGCAUGUUUAAUGAUAUUUGAAAAACAUCGCUGUAGGACAAGAAGAAUGCCACAUCACUGUCUCAAUACCAUAGUACUCAAGCUAAUUUUCUGAGCAAUAAAUAUUGUGAUACCAAGAUGUUAAUAUUACCAUGAUGUGUUCUACAAGGCUUUAUGGUCACCAGUAAAGUGUUGGAAAGCUUCCUUUGAGUCCCCGUCCCCCCAUUCCAUUCAUGGAUGGAUGGAUGUAUUAAAUUUCUAUACUGCCCUUCAUCCAAGAAUCACACAGCAGUUUACACAAACACAAAAAUACGUACUACAGUAAUGCCGAGUCCUAUUGAAAGACAUUGAAAUAAAGUUAGUUGCAACUAACUUCGCACACUGAUUUCAGUGUGUAUCUGCCUCUGGGUUAGGGCCACAGUUCUCACAGAUUCUCCUUGAGAAGUGUUCAGUAAUUUGGAAUCCAACAUUUCCCUACAAGUUAUUAAAAUAUUGCCGAAGGGAUUAACAUUCACAUUUAGCAUAAUAGGGAACAAUUAUUAUUAUUAUUAUUCUAACACACCACCUUUCUAUACUAUUUAAAUGACCUUAUUUUGUCAGCGCAAAAAAGGGAGGAAAAGCUCAUCCUUUGAUUUAAGAAAGCAAUUUAACAAAAAUGCAGGCUAUUUUCUUUUCCAGGUUUCUGAGCAGCUGACAGUGGAGUAAUACAGUUUAUGUUUUAAAGUCCAAUGGUAAUUGAAAACGACCGCUUUGUUGCUCUUGUCACUGGAGCAAGCAGCAUGGGAAGUCAGAGACCAUUUGGAGCUUCACUUCAAUGCUCUUGAUAACAAAUUGUUAGAGACUCCCAAUAGUCUCCUUGCUGAACUUUCCUCCAAGUCCCUCUAGGCAGAGAGUGAGUAUCUCAGCUUUUGGCAGGUCCAAGUUAUACUAUAUUGACAUUUGAGAAUGAUGGUAUCAGUUACGCUCAUGGAAUGAGAACAAAAUGCUCUUCUGGGAUUGUCUAUGUGACUCUGAUUAUCUGGCAAAUACUUAGUUUAGUUCCAAUAGAAAGACCAUGGAGCAGAGGCUUGAUAUUACUUCCCAUUCAAAGUAGCAGUGUUUGGGUUCCCCAUCCCACCCACAAUAACGACAAGCACAUAGAAGCUUUGAUUUGAGAAGCACUGCAACAUUUUAUGUUAUUUAUUUAUACUUAAAUUUCUUAUACUACUAAAUCGAGAAAGAGAAAAAUCUCCUCAAAUUAGAUAAGGGUGGCAGAUUGAGAUGGAAAAGCUAGGAGUGAGAUUUGCACUGGGGAUUCUCCUGAUAUUUCUGCAAUCCAAGUCCUCCCCCUCACCCCCGAUUAGGGUUUGAAAUCAUGCACUGAUUGGUUAGCUAUUAUUGUUAUGGUUCCUAAUUCCGCAUACUCACUUCUGAGUUCUCUGCAUUGCCAUGGACUGAAUACUUUGGCUCAGAUUUUUGCAGCAAUGUCAGGAGGUGAGGACAAAAGCACCCCCAAAAUUUGGAUUAAUCUUCUGGGGUGGAUGAAGCUGAAAAAUACUGGUCUCUCACUGUGUGUGUGUGUGUGUGUGUGUGUGUGUGUAAACUUUGCCACCACUUCAAUGCUGGCAAGCCCCUGAAGAUCAUCCCAAUCUUCAGGGACUGUUUUUCACCCACCCCCUUAAAACUAACGAAAAAGCCUAGCCCAAAUAGUUCACACGCCAGAAGCUGCUGGGUGGGGAUCAGGUAAUUUAAUAUACACAUGGAUUUCUGAUGCAUUGAAUUUUCUUAUAGCUAAAACUUCCCUUUAGAAUGGCAUGCUAAUGAAAACCCUGCUGAAAGGCAGGCUGCCCUUUAUCUGGGGAGUUGUAAGCCUAGUUGAUUGCAUGCUGUGUGACUUGGGUAAUAAAAUGUGUCCUGCUUGAUACAAGAAGACAAAUAUCCUUGUCAUCCGUCAACAAUAUUCAUUUGCAGCUGCCGUCUGAUGGCUAAUAAUUAGAGCUAUUAAUUGUCUGGAAAUAUAGGAAGAGCACCAAGUACUCAGCAAUUUCAGACAUGGUAUUAACACAUGAUUUAAAAAGGGGGUGGGAAGGACACAGGGCAAAAUGGCCUCAAGAUGCCAUUAAUGAGCUCAGAGACCUCAAAUGCAUUUAGGUUACCAGUUUAAACACACCCUUGCUGAUUGCUGAACUGCCUGAUGCAUGCUUUUUAAAACUAAAGGACGGAACAAGGCUCUCAAAUUCUUACGUAGACAUAUCAUGGCAUGGUGGUGAUUAUACUACAAGAUAAAAGCAACAGUACUUACACAUAGAUGCUUUCCUCAAAAAUAGGGUAAAUAGUUUCUAUUCAGUCUCUGUCUAGGAGGGGCUGUUACUGGUAGAGCAGCUUCAUGUGGAGAAGGAUGUUUUGUUCCACCAAGGCGACUUAAGCCUCCAGUAACCAGUUUCAUAUCAAAGUCCCAUACUACCCACAACUAUUAACCUGAACCUUCAGAGUGAUUGUGGCCACACUGGAGAAAGGCUGAACACUACCUCCCAUGGCUAGAUGAACCAUGCAGCAAUAGCACCUCUGGCUUGUCCAGAUAGAGUCUUCACCCAAACUAUUACACAGCUUAGGUCCAAACUAUUUGAAAGACUGCAAUCCCUCAUACAAACCUGUCCGGCUUUUGAGAUCUUUGGAGGAGGCCCUUCUCUUGGUCCCAGUGGGAAAUCCAAUGCCGUUGGACCAGGAUCAGUGUAACAUAUUCAAACUGUCUUGACCUAGUGAGCAACCUGGCUGCUGAAUUCUGCACUAGCAGAAGUUUCUGAACUAUCUUCAGAGGUGGCCCCACAUAUAACAUGUUGCUCUACUGCUUCUAGCAUAAAAAAUCGUGUGUAAACAUUUGGUAAAUGACAAGCUGUAUCAUAUAGUUCUGUGUUCUUUGCUGAACUCAGGAACUGUGUUAUUGAAGAAUGACUGUAACAAUGCUCAGGUCUUGGAAUUCAGAAUAACUGGAUAUAUUGUACAGAUCUUUUACACACACAUGACUGUCAGAUGUAAAGUUAUUUUUACCACUCUCCCUCUCUCCCAUUCAGCAUGCCCAGCCAUGCCAAGAUGAUGGAAAUGUUUGCUUCUGUCUACCUCUAACGCUACCAUUCUGUUUAACCCUGCAUUUGAACUCUGAAAGCCUGCC